UGCAAUCACUACUGUAAGUUGCUCUGGAUAAGAGUGUCUGCUAAAUGACUAAAA
rfam:Salmo salar isolate Sally breed double haploid chromosome ssa14, whole genome shotgun sequence.